CCUACGGGUGGCAGCAGUCGAGAAUCAUUCACAAUGGGGGAAACCCUGAUGGUGCGACGCCGCGUGGGGGAAUGAAGGUCUUCGGAUUGUAAACCCCUGUCAUGUGGGAGCAAAUUAAAAAGAUAGUACCACAAGAGGAAGAGACGGCUAACUCUGUGCCAGCAGCCGCGGUAAUACAGAGGUCCCAAGCGUUGUUCGGAAUCACUGGGCGUAAAGCGUGCGUAGGCUGUUUCGUAAGUCGUGUGUGAAAGGCGCGGGCUCAACCCGCGGACGGCACAUGAUACUGCGAGACUAGAGUAAGGGAGGGGGAACCGGAAUUCGCGGUGUAGCAGUGAAAUGCGUAGAUAUCGAGAGGAACACUCGUGGCGAAGGCGGGUUCCUGGACAUUAACUGACGCUGAGGCACGAAGGCCAGGGGAGCGAAAGGGAUUAGAUACCCCUGUAGUC
rnacentral:rRNA from 1 species